GACAGAGGUGCCGAGCGUUAGGCGGAAUCACUGGGCUUAAAGCGUGUGUAGGCGGACUUCUAAGUACCUUGUGAAAUCCCACGGCUUAACCGUGGAACUGCUUGGUAUACUGGUUGUCUUGGGCCACUUAGGGGCUACCGGAACAAACGGUGGAGCGGUGAAAUGCGUAGAUAUCGUUUGGAACGCCAAUGGUGAAAACAGGUAGCUGGGAGUGUGCCGACGCUGAGACACGAAAGCCAGGGGAGCGAACGGG
rnacentral:rRNA from 1 species